rnacentral:misc_RNA from 1 species
AACGCACAUUGCGCCCGCCAGUAUUCUGGCGGGCAUGCCUGUCUGAGCGUCAUUUCAACCCUCACGCGCCUAGCGCGUGGUGUUGGGGAUCGGCCGAGCCCGCGAGGGACGGCCGGCCCCUAAAUCUAGUGGCGGACCCGACGUGGCCUCCCCUGCGAAGUAGUGAUAUUCCGCAUAGGAGAGCGUCGAGCCCCUGCCGUUAAACCCCCAACUUUCCAAGGUUGACCUCAGAUCAGGUAGGAAUACCCGCUGAACUUAA